rnacentral:lncRNA from 1 species
UCCCGUUCCCGCCGUCCCGUUCCGGUUCCCGGUACCGGGCAGUCGUAGAGCGCCGUGAGCUGCCCCAGGAUCCACUCCUCGAGGUGGAGGCGCUUGCGGAGCUCGCGGCGGUCGUAGCGCACCGUGACCUUCCCGCGGCCCCGCCCCGGGCCCUCCUCCGGUGCCGCCGCCGCCGCCGCCGCGGGCGCGAAGCACACGCGGGGCCCGCCCUGCGCGGGGGCGGCUCCGCCGGGCACCGGCACCGGAACCGGCACCGGCACCGGGGGCCCGGGGCCGCCGCGCGGCUCCGCCAUGCCGCGACCACCGACCGGAAGCGGCCACGCCCCCGCCGGGGCCACGCCCACCUCCGCCGGGGCCACGCCUACCCCGCGCGACGCCGCCGCGGGGGCUCCUUUGUGUCCUGGCCACGCCCACCGAGGACACGCCCACACAGGGCCACGCCCUGUUCGACCCCCGCGUUGCUUUAACCACGCCCACUCAUCGACACAACCACGCCCCCUUGCGCGCACACCCAAUUAGGGCCACGCCCAGUUCCGGCCCCGCCCCCUCGCUGCGGCCACGCCCACUCAGGACACACCUGGUUAGGCCACGCCCCUGGCGGUUACGGGCCACGCCCCCGUCCCGGUCAGCGAUGGCGGCGCCGCUCCCGGUGCCGGUCCCGGAGCCGGGGUCGGGUCCGGGGUCGGGUCCGGGUCCCGUCCGGGUUCCGGGUUCCGUCCCGGGUCCGGUUCCGGGUCCUGUCCGGGGCUCGGAUCCGGUCCCGGGUUCUGCCCCCGGUCCUGUCCCGGGUCCGUUCCCGGUUCCGGUCCCGGUCCCGUCCGCGCUCCCGCUGGAGCCGCCGCGCGUGCCCGAGCUGCUCGUGCGGGGCAGCAAAUUCAUCCGCUGGGAGGAGGUGAGCGACCCCGAACCCGCCCGAAAUCACCCCAAAAUCACCCCGAAAUUAUCCUCAAAUCACCCCGAAAUCACCUCAAAAAUCACCUGAAAAAUUACCCCGAAACCACCCCGAAUCACCCCAAAAUUACCCCCAAAUUAUCCCAAAAUUACCCCCAAAUUACCACAACACG